UGGUGAUAUGUUGGAAUCGCAGGAAAUUCAUCCCCUUUGUAUCUCUUUAGGGAAUAUGAAUUUCAUUAGUGCUAUGACACUUAGUGCUGCUGCGCUCCUCCUGCUAUACCUGUGGCACCUUCACGUGUGAUGUCUUGUGUUGUGUCAGGUUAACGGUCAUUUUACAAAGUUUAGAUGAUGGAUAUGUCUGGGCUGGUUUGCACAGGGCUGAUCCUGCCUCAGGCAGGGCUUGGAAUUGAUAUGACCUGGAGGACCCUUCCAGCCCCACUUCUCUAUGUUUUAUACAAUUAUUGCUCUAAAGCAGAACUGUUCACCUGGGCUGCUCUGACUUUAGAUGCCUUUUCUUCCCUCAGCUUUUUCUUCCUGCUCCCACCCCAGAGGGCAGGGCAACGAAGCCCUGGGACCCAUGGGAGCCGGCAACUUAGUUCAAUGAGGAAGCUGAAGUGCAGGCUGCCUGCAUGACUCAUCCCACCACUGCUGAUCUGCUUCUGUUUCGCAGCCUCUGUUUUUACCCUCCAAACAACAAAGCUGAGAACAGGAUGCAACGGGGGCAGCUAGAUGAGCAGCAGAAGGGAGGAGCACACAAAAACUAGCAGCACGGUUUGGCACUGGGCCAUUAGCGGGGAUGGCUGAGGAUGCACGACUGAGUCCACUAAUUCCUGUUGCAGUGCACAGUACAGGAACUGCUGUGGGACUAUGCAAUGACAAUAGGAUUUUUCUGAAACUGGUUCAAAUAGUCCACUUCAUCAGUGCUCACUGUGUGUGUGUUUGUCCUCUAGAAAGAGCUGCCAAGUGACUCGGAGAUUCUGGAUAAGGAAGAUCUAGUUUACACAGUCAGUGCCCGAGAAUACCAGCAAGAGGAGAAGCUCACUAAGGAAGAGACAGAACUGGAAACUUCAGCAGAACAGCCUGGAAACCUUUGUAAUGAAAGCGAUCAAUGAACUGGAGAAGGAGGUGGAGAACUGUUUUGCUCAGAUAGAACAACCUCUUAAGGAUGGCAUAGAGGUGGCAAAAGCAUCACACCAGAACAUUAUCAAUGGGAUCCUAAAUCGAACCGGGGGGAAACGAGGUUAUCACCGGACCCUGAAAGCCUUGUGCCUGAAGAAUGGCAUGUAUGCAUCCCAGACCUUCGCUCGCUUAGACAUAAAUGAUGCUCUUGCUCAACCCAUCUAUAAAAAAAUCAACCCAAUAUUUGGAACCACCUUCAGGAACCAAACAGGCACCCAAGCCACAUUGAAAGGCAUCCUUGAGACAUUCAGGUGCUUCGUGCAGAAGAAAUUCAAGGAGGAUGGGAAGAAGAGCAGUUGGCUUAACUGCCUUGUGCAAGAACGGCUGGACGUGUAAGAGGGGCACGCACCUGUCGGAGGAUGCAGGAUAUCAUUGAGGAGAGUGUUGACAAGGAAGUCAACAGUGGGAUGUUUGAACGGGCAGCAAAGACAAUGAAGGAUGAGUUUCAGAAGCUGAAGGAGGGGAUUACAAGGACGCUGCAGAUGGACUUUUCCAACAUGUUGAAACUCACCUUUUUUCAUAAGGAAGAGCUUGUCAAAAGACUUCCAGACUUGCAGAAUGAAUACAAGGAAAUCAUGUACAUUCACAGUGCCAUUCAAGUACCUGGAAAUGCUUAAAAAAUCACUGAAGAAGUCUUUUCUUUUUUUUAAUUAAACAGUUGAAGGCUCUGUUCUUUUAUUUAACUAGGAUGGUGAUGAAUUUCUAUUAAUUGCUAAAUACCUUGUAAGUGGAAAAUUCCAAACACAUGUUAUAGUACCUGUAUCUGCUGCUCUGCUUAAUCAAUACUGCAGUCUCUCCUAUCACAGCUCUUCUCUAAAGUCAGGAAAGGUAAAUAUACCAAUGCACUAAAUGGAUUUAUAAUAACUGUUAGUAGUCUGGGAAGUAAUAAUAGUAAUUUUGUGCUUCUUUUUAUUCAGAAAAGAUUUUUUUCCUGGUUCAUAUAUCAAUAAAAAAGAAGUUUGUUGUGGAGUCUA